UACGUAGGGGGCUAGCGUUGUCCGGAAUCAUUGGGCGUAAAGCGCACGUAGGCGGAUUGUUAAGUCAGGGGUGAAAUCCUGGAGCUCAACUCCAGAACUGCCUUUGAUACUGGCGAUCUCGAGUCCGGGAGAGGUGAGUGGAACUGCGAGUGUAGAGGUGAAAUUCGUAGAUAUUCGCAAGAACACCAGUGGCGAAGGCGGCUCACUGGCCCGAUACUGAUGCUGAGGCACGAAAGCGUGGGGAGCAAACAGG
rnacentral:rRNA from 1 species